rnacentral:misc_RNA from 1 species
ACGGUUAGGGCUUAAUGAUGUAUGCUGCAUCAGAAUAAACUAGUUUAGAGAUAAAGCUGGAAAUCACAACAGACACAUAAUAGUAGCAAUGAAGUCCCACAAGAGAUAACAGUAGAGACAUAGACAUUAUUUAUCUAGCAAUUCAAUGCACUUGUUAUGAGCACAUCUAAGUGGUCUUUGAUGGCAUUUCAAUUAUUUUUAGUAUUUCUUUUCUCAUAUUCCAUAUUAGGUGCAGUGUAGAAAACCUAUUCAAUGUAUACAAUUUACAUUGUCUUCUUCCAAACAACUGAAACAAAUUGUACACAAAUUUGAAAUUAAUUCUCCAGGUAACGGGAUGCAAUUCAUUAUGUAUUGGUUCAAAAUAGACUUUUGAGGAAUUUCCAAUUAUUUGCUGUUUCUUCCCUGCCCCAGUUUUCAAAUGCUGCAUUGCAAGGGUUUCUUCUACCCUGUUCAUUAAUAUGAAGGACAGCAAGGUGAAGCUCAAAUCUCCUUCAGUCAAAAGCACUUUCAGAUUGUUCCUUCAAGAACACUGAAAGUGUAGAUGCUUCUAAUACAUAAAGUUGGGAUGAAAAAGGCAAAUUUACAAGAGAAGUG